rnacentral:tRNA from 1 species
GGCUUUAUAGCCUAGUGGCAUUUUGGUGAUAGGAUAAGACUUUGAUACCUAUAGGUCUUGGGUUCGAUUCCUACAAGGGGGUUU